ensembl:snRNA U6 U6 spliceosomal RNA
GUGUGUUCACUUCAGCCGCACAUAUACUAAAAUUGGAAUGAUACAGAGAAGAUCAACAUGACCCCUGCACAAGAUGGCAUGCACAUUCUUGAUGCAUUCCAUUUUCUU